GCGUCAAAGAUUGUAAAUUUGAAAGUGGGUGCUCUUGAUUUUCUUCUCCGUCAUGAAGGAGCUCACCCACCACUUGCAACUUACAACAUUCUCCAACUUCCAGAUGUUUCAAGUUUUUGAGGAAACCUUGUGGAGGCUGACCCUUGCAUAAGGCUUCCAACCCAUCCAUAUCUUCCAUAAAUAAUGUCUCCAAAUGAGUGAAUGCUGAAGUUGGCCCAUUCUUUGUUGUAUCAACCAAGCAUUCAAGAUCCUGAAUUUCUCUAACUUCAAGUUGUUUUGAAGUUUUGAAUGAUUCCUUGAAUGCUGAUAGUCGAACACCCUAAUUGUAAUUCACAUCAUCAUUAAAAACACAUUUUAUAUAUCAAUUAGCAAUCAAUAAUUGACAUACAAACAUAAAUAGUUAAAAUUUCUUUUAAAUCAAUAUUGUUAUCUACGGUAAAUACCAUUAAUGCAGAAUUAAACAAAUGGCAAACAACUCAAAGUAAUCAAACUCAUAAAUUACCUACUUUAAUUACUUGGAAGGCUGGAAAUAAAAAAAAAAAAAAAAGACAGUUAAUGAAAAUGUUACAUCUACAUGGUUUCUUUAAUUUGUAUUAAGUAAGAAACUAGAAAACAAUUCAUUUGUGUAGUAAAAAAAAUGCAUUUGUUGAUUACAAAUAAACCUAUAAUUGUGCAUAUCAAUGGCAUAGUGUAGUAGAGAUUCGGUGCCAUGACCCUCUAAAAUAGUAAUUUUUUAAUUUAGAGUCAUUAUAAUUUAUAAAAUUUUAAAUUAUUAAUGGUAAAAUUAUACUUUAACUCCAAAAAUAAUAAAAUUUGAUUUAAUUCUUUAAAAAUUAUAAAGAUAUAAACUACUAAAUUAAUAAAAUUUUACUUUUAUUAUCAUAAAAAUAUAUAAUUAAUUCUACUAAAAAAUUUCAGGCUGCUCCACUCUGCAUAUGGAUAUGAUUAAUUUUGUUUUAUAUUUUAACCCUGCUUUUAGCAAAAGUUAAAAGAAUGAGAUUGAAAAAGAAAAGAAAGAUAUUUUAUAAUGAAGAAAAACUCAGUAAAAUUAUAAUAAAGUUGUAAAUUAAUAUAUAUUAUCAAAGUUGUUAAUGUCCUAAUUGUUUUUAUGUAAAAAAAGAAAAGAAAAAAAAAGAGCUAAUGAUAUUUUUGAACCACCAAUAAAUAUUAUUUUUAUAUUAUUUACUUCCAUACACAUAGCAGUGCCAAUUGUAGUAUGGUUAAAAUAUCUUAAACAUUUUGCUGUAAAAUCAAUAUGAAAACUGAGUUAUGAAAAGUUAUAAAUAAAUAAAAUUCAAUAAUGUAUAAUUUGUAAGGGAGAAAAAGAACGUACCUUUAUGGAAGCUUUCUUAGCUUCUAAAUGAACAACCAAAUCAGUUAAUAGAGGGCAUCUUUUCACUGAAAAGGACGAUAACGAUCUCAAGAAUUGCUGGUGUUGGAGCAUACUGUCAUUUCCCACCCUGUCUUUGGCAACUCUAAACACUUGUUUUAAUUGAGAGCAAGCCUCUACGUUAAGAGUCAAACCCUGAAGCCCUUGUGGUGACAUCGACGUUGGAAAAAUAUACUCCAAACCAUAACAAUUUGAUAUGCUGACGUCUCCUAACUCUGGGAAGCACAAAGAAUUAUGAGAAUUGAUGGUUGGUGAUAUUUCUCCCUCGUCGCCUUCCAAUUCUGUCACUAUUUGCUUCAUUUCAUCACAGUAGCUUAUGUCAAGACGUUUCAAUUGUACUAGACUUUGAGCAAGAGAAAGUGAAAAGAGUGAUUUCAAACGUGGGAACUUUUUUAUAGUCAAAACAACUAAGCUUUCAAGUCUUACAUGUUGGGUCGGAAAAAUAUACUCCAAACCAUCACAAGUAGAUAUGUAGAGUUUUGUUAACUUUGGGAAGGACAAAGAAGUAUGAGAAUUGAUAGUAUGUGAUAUUUCUCCCUUGUCACCUUCUAAUUCUGUCACUGUUUGCUUCAACUCAGGACAAUAGAUUAUCUCAAGUUUUUCCAAGAGUACGAGACUUUGAGCAAGAGAAAGUGAAAAGAGUGAUUUCAAACGUGGGCAGUGUAGUAUAGUCAAUUCAACUAAGCUUUCAAGUCUUACAUGUUGGGUUGGCAAUUCCCAUAUGCAACUCAAAUCUGGCAACCUUUGAAGACGUAAAAUCUUCAAAUUUGAAAGGAGUGGAGCUUCAUUUUCCUCCACCUCCUCCAUUUGAAAUACCACUUUUAGAUUCUUGCAGUAAUCGAUUCUCACUAGUUUUAGAUUUCGUAAGAUCAUUGAUACCGACACCUUUGGUUGUGUUUUAUUAGUCAAGCAUUCUACAUACUCAUCCUUGAUUUUUGACACUUCAAGAGACUCUAAAUUCCCAAGUAAUUGGGAAAAUGCAUUGUAAGGAAACACUUCCUCAAUUUUCAAGGAUCUUGUUGUGUCAAUAGUAUAACCAAAACCGGACAUUUCUCAGUAACCAAAAUUUAUACUAAAACAGUUUAUGCCAAUUUUGUAAUUUUCUAAUUCAGGAAACUCGAAGUCUAGUGGACAAUGUAGAGAAUGUACCUCAACUGAUAGUCUCCUUAAUUUGGUCAAAAAUUUUAUCUCGAGAAAGAUAUCAUUACUUAUACCCGAUCUUGGUAGAUACAACUCCUCUAACUGAGACAACCUUCGAAUAACUUUAGAUUGAAAUCUCCCAGAACACGCACAAUUGAUUAGAUCCAAUAUCUUUAGAUUUUCUAACAUCUCUAAUUCAUCUGCAAGAUCCUCGUACACCCAACCAUGUAAACUCAGGAUCUCAAGUGUUGUUAGGUUUCCAAGAAACGAAUAGUGCGCAAAAUUGUCCAAAUGCAGAGCACGGAGUUUUGGUAGGAACGUAAGAGCAUACAAGGAAAUAACCCCCGUACCAUAUACAGCUGUAAGAUUUAAAACUUUUAGUUCUGUCAUUCCUAAAAAACAUGUACCUUGUAUAUCGCAGUUAUUGAGCAAUAGGAUCUCAAGCUUUGAAUGCAUCAAUCUAUCAGGAAAUUUUUUCUUUUCACUGCCCAAUAAUGAGAUUGCUUUACUAGAUUCUGAGCUUUUAUUUAGUGUUUCCAAUCUAGAAUUGAUCAUAAAACUACUUUCUUCUUCUGAUGCAAUCCAUAGAGCAACAUCACGAACUAUAUCAUGUAACUUAACGUACCUAAUCAAGCCAAAAUAAAAGAGGAUGCAUUGAAUAAUAUUUUAUUAUUAUACAAUUUUAAGAAGAAUAAAAGAUAAAAAAGAAUGUAGAAAAAGGAACAAUAGGAAGAAAAAUUUUAAUAAAACAAAGAGGUGGAGGAAACUAUCAAAUUUAACUAUAGUAUACAUCUUAAUCAAAUUUUACAUUAUAUGAAUUAGACUUAAUAUAAUAUUUGGUAUUUAACUUGUCAUUUUUUCCUAACACUUUUCAUAAUUUAAUACCUAAACCUUUUUCUUUUUCUUUUUUGUAUGUUUAUGAGUAAGAUUUACUGAAUGUAAGACUAAAGUUAAAGUAGACUUCUGGAUUUAUGUUUUAUUUAUCAUUAAAAUAUUUCGAAUAUUUUUAUAUGUUAAUAUUUUAAUAGAUAAUUAAUAUUUUUAUAAAAAUAUUUUUAUCUUGUUAUACUUUUAUAUACUCUUCAAAAUGAAAGUAUAAUAGCUAAAUAACAUCAUUUGGGAAUCAAACACGACGAAUAAAUUUAUAUAAAAAUCUCAUAUCCAUCCACCAAUAAUUAUUUACUAAAAUAAAUUUAUAAUAUAUUUUUAAAAUAAAAUAUUUUCUUUCACCUACAGGAGUGACAAAAUCCCAAUCAUUUAUAAACAAAUGAUAUUUUUCAAGUUCAAGAAAUGGAGAGUCUAAAAUUGCUCGAGUUUGGCUAAGCUUGUGAACUUAGCAAGAGAACUCUAUCUAGUAUGUAUAUAUCAUUCAUCCUUUUAAGUUGUGUUUGUCUUAAAACAACUUUGAGAAAAAUGGAUUGAUUUUCUGAAAAAAUUGAUAUUUUUUAGUAUUUAAAUAAUUUUGCAUAAAAUAUUUUUUAUUUGAAUUUUCUUUCUAAAAUCAUUUUUCAGUGAAAUAAACCCAAGAUAAAUUAUAUUUGAUACAAAACAUUAUGGAAACACAUUUUUUUAAAAUCAAAAAUUAUUUUUAAUAAGAUAAUAUUUUGUAAUAAAUAAUAUAUUAUAAUAAGCAUUUUACUAUUUAAGGGCCGGGAUACCUAUCCAAUUUUAUUCCACAAGCCUAAAAGCUCGCCCAAUAUAUAGGUUUGAGAAACAAAUAGACCUAUUUAAAAUAUAGGUUGGGCCUGAACUUCAUCAUUCAAGGCUCGAUCCCAUCUAAUUUUAUACUUUUGUAAUAUAAUUUUAUUUUAUUUUUAUAUAUUAUAUAAUGUAAAUCACAUAAAAUAGAAUAUAUAAUAAUAUAAUACUACGAAAAUAUUAAAAUAUGUUAAGUUAUCUAUGUUUAAAAUUUUACUAAUAAAAAGAUCUAGAAUAUUAAAUAUUAAAUAUUAUCGGUAACCUAGAAUGAGCAUUAGUUAGAUAUUUGUAAACAUGGAUAGAUUUGAGUAAAAUUUUAGACCUAUAUUUUAGGCUAAUCUUAGCUUGGCUUGGGCAAAUAUAAAGCUACUAAUAUCAUAGAUAAACCAAAUCCGAACUUAGCCUAACUCAAACUAUAAACACUUUUAAUAAUAAAGAUUUAAUAUCUAAUUAAAACUUAUUUUGAAGUUAUAUAUUGGGGGAAGGGGGAGACAACAAUGAUUAAAUGAAAUGAAAUAGGAUUUAAAUUAACAUUCAUAUUUAUUUUAUUAAAAUAAUCAUAUUUUAUAAUAUAAAAUAUGUAUUACUAAAUAUUUAUAGAUUGUAAUAUAUUUAUUAUCAAAAUAUUAUUAUUUUUCAAUAAAAUAUUAAGAACAUUACUUAAAUUUUAAAAUUAUUAUUAAUGCUAAUUUUUAUCAUUAAAAUAAAACUUAGUAUUAAAUAAUUUUACUAAAAUCAAUUAUAUUAAUAAUUUAUUAUAUGAUUAAAUAUAAAUAUGUAUGUUUAAUAAUAAAAAUUAUAUUAUUUGAGAUUAAUAAUUUAGUAUUUUUAUAAAAAAUAUUUUAUAUUUUCCUAAUAAUAAAAUAUAUUUGCUUAAUAUUUAAAUACAAAUAAGUAUUUUUAAUAUUUUUAUAAAAACAUUUUUAUAAAAAUAAUCUUACUUUGUAUAAAAAACAUAUUUUCCCUAAAACAAACUUUUAAUAUACGCAAAUACCAACUCAAGAAAGUGAUAGUUUAAACGAGAUAUAUAUAUAGCUUUGCCUUGGAAUUUAAGCAUCAUACCUUCUAAAAUCUUCAGCUUGCUUAACAAACCUGAUGAAGCCAAAAUAAAAGUAAAUAGCAUUUUAUUAUUAUAAUACAAUUUUUAGGAGAUGAAAAUAUAAAGAAACUACAAAAAGAACUAAUAAAACAAAAAGAUGAAGGAAAAUAUGAAAUUUAGCUUUUUUUUAUAUAUAUAUAUCUUAAUCAAAAGAUACAAAAGGCUAUUUCUUAGUUUUAGUCUUUAAAGUUAAAUAAGACAUGUAGGUUUAUGUUUUAUAUAUCAUUAAAAUAUUUAAAUUUCUUAUAUGUUAAUAUUAUAAAGAAAAUUAUUUGGUAAGCGGCAGGUGAAGUUUUUAGAUUUUACAAAUAGAAUGAGUGGUUAACAAGUGUCUUAUAAAAAUAUAAUAAAAUAUUUAAAAAAAUUACAUGUGACAAUUUAGUAAUAAAAAAGUACAUUAGUAAUUUAAAAUUUUUUUAGUUUGGUUAAGCUUGCCUACUUAGCAAGAAAACUCUAUUUAGAAUUCUAAGUCUUGGUAUACCCAAAUACCAAUUAAUGAAAAGGGAUAAGCAUGUAUAGUUUGAAAAUGUAUCAUACCUUCCAACAUCUCCAUCUUCUAGCAAGCAAGAAUCUUUGAGGUAAUCGAUGACUUUCAAGACUUGAAUUCUCAUUUAUUCAAUAGAGUUAACCUUAUCAUAUAAGUUCAAACCCUAAGCAUAUCGCAUCAAGUCUUCCACAUUAAUUAAGUCAUCUUCAGGAUAUAAUGCACAGAGUAAGAAACAUGUUUGGGACAUCUUGUCCUUCAAAUGCUCAUAACUGAUCUUAAGAGAAAUGUAGGCAUUUUUCUCUCUCUCUCUGUUUGAAUGCUUGGAAUCUCCAUUAAUCCACUUCUUUCAAGUUUUUUUCGUGCAUCUUUCCACCUAUCAAGAGCUUUACCUUUUAAAGCCUUUGCUAGUGUUACAAUGGCUAAAGGUAAGCCCUUGCAUUCUUUUGCAAUUUUCUUAGCCUCCCCAAUAACACGCGAAUCAGCUUUCUUGAUACCUGCAUUCAUUUCGAACAGAGUCCAUGCUUCACCAUCUUCCAAAACCUUCAGUUGAAUUGUCUCCUCACAUUCCAUAUGUUGACAAACAUUAUAGUUGCGUGUUGUCAAGAUGAUUUUGCAACCCUUUUCAUCUUUAACCAAUGGAAUACCUAUCUUUCUCAAAUCCCCAUCAUCAUUCCACUCCUUCCAUAGAUCAUCGAUGAUUACGAGAAACUUUCCAUUACUCAAUCUACUCCACAACUCUGUUGCUUUGCCGCCUUCAGUGUUCUUGCCAAAUUUCAAGUCUAAGUCAUCUGCAAUUUUGUUUUGUAUUUUUUCAAUGUCUACAGUUUCGGACACAGUGACCAUUAUAACUCGAUCAAAUCCUCUGACUUUACCACUCACGUUUCUGACUAAGGUGGUUUUGCCCACUCCUCCCAUCCCCCACACCCCUAUUUUUUUUACUAUAUCAUCCUUCAAUGCCUCCAUGAUCUUAUUGAAAGCAGCACCUGAAGAUUUUAAAUCCACAUUAUCCUUAGAUGUGACCAAAUCUAAGCUAGGAAGCUUUGCACGAUGGCCGACUCGUUUAAAUUCGGAUUUUUUUACGAGAUCAGCUAUUUCCAAUGUUUUAUUCUCAAUCUCCUGACUUAAUUGAUAUCGCCAACACCAAUUAGGACACAGACAGAAGCAUCUCUUAUUUUCUUCAAUUUCAGAGUCCAAAACUUUUACAUCCUUUAGGGCAUUUUCUGCCUUUGUCGGCCAUUCAUCAACUUGGUCGUAGAUCACUUGAGUUCGAAUCUGCAAUUUAGCCUCCUCAACGUCGUCUUUCACUUGAGUUUCUUUUGCAGCCAAAUCUUGUUGGUUUUGGUGCAGCUCUUGAACUAUCUUAUGAAAACGAAAUAAGUAACGAAUACGACGUUCGAUUGGCUUCACUAAAUAGUCUACCAACAAUGGUGCCACCAAACCAGAAGCAGCACUGAGACCCCACUCCGAACCCAUUGCUGUUAAUCUGAAUUCACAUAACAAAUCUGCUAAGCCUAAGCAAAAUGGUAGAGAAUACAGUUGAGAAUAAUUAUGAAAAGGUUGAGAGUUACCCCUUAAGAUUAUGAUGAAGAUAUACUAUAAUGUGAUGUUUAGAAGGCGCGCUCCUUGCUUCAAAGAAAAUGCUCCAAUUCUAAAUCUGAAAGCAGAGUCGUUGAAGCUGUGAACAAAAGUAUUUACUCCCAAAAAAAAAAAAAAGUGUGACAGAUAUAUAUUGAUGAUCAUAUUUUAUUAUUUAAUUUAACAAUACUUUAUAGGAUUCUUAAAAAUUUACAUUUUUAAAUAAUGUUUGCCAUAUAUUGUAAUUUCGGGCUGCCAUGUCACAUUGUGUUAUUGGCUUUUAGAACAAAAUCAUAAAAAUUUGUCCAAGUUAAUAAAGUACCUAAAAACAAUAUCCUAAUUGAAAUUAUUAAUCAAUUUGGUUUUUUUUUUACUAAAUUACAUUAUCCAACUAUUAGUAAUUUUUUUUGUCACCCAACUAUGAAAAGUUGCAAAACAGUUUUUCAAUCACCAAUUAGUUAAUGGUAGUAUAUUUUAAAUUUGACAUAAUAGCAAAUUUAAUCUUUAACAUUUAUAAAUUAUGUCAAUUUAGUUUUGAUACUAAAUAAUUGAACCCUCAACAUUUACACAUUAUGUAAUUUGGUCUUUUUUUUUUCAAUUUUGUUUUUCUUUAUGAUAUUGAGGGUUAAUUUUAAAAGAAUGAGAAAAUAUGAAAAUUAUUAUCUUAGAUUUUUGGGUGUUUUCAUUUUUUGUAUAGUUGAUAAAUUUGUUUUUUUAACAUUUUAGGUGAAAGGGUCACAAAGAAAAGCAAAACUGUAAAAAAAGAGACUAAUUUACAUAAUGUAUAAAUAUUGAGGAUUAACUUUUUUUUUAGAAUCAAGACUGAAUUCACAUAAUUUAUAUAUGUUGAGGAUUCAAGUUGCUAUUAUGCCAAUUUUAAAAGCUGUCACCGUUAACCAGCUGGUGACCUAAAAAAGACAUAAUUGAAUAGUUAGGUAACCAUUUUGUAACUUUUCAUAGUUAGGUGAACAAAAAAAAUACUAUUUUUAUAACUUUUCAUAGUUAAGUGAUCAAAAAUAAAUUUACGAAGAAUUGGGUGCGUAGUAUUAAUUGGCUAAGCAAAGGGAUAAAUCCAUAAUUAAUUCGUUUGAAAAAUGAUAAAUUAAUUAUGUUUUAGCCCUUUGAAAGUAAAUACAGACUUCCCACUACUCCAAUACUUUAGAUGUUUCCUUUCUACGUCUGUCUUAGUAGUCAAUUGCUCCAUAUCUGACCUUAACUGAGUUAUUCUGAGGGAAAAAUAUAUAUAAUUGAAGAUAAAUGAUUUAAUAUUUAUUUUAAUGUCUAAACUACUACUUUUUCUCAUUUUGAUACAUCAAACAUUCUUAGUACUUAAACAUUUUAGUCCUAAGCCUCACGUGGCUAAUUCAGAUAUAUUAUAUAAUUUUAAAAUUAAAAUAAAUUAUUUUAAAUUAAAAUUUUAAAAUUUUUAUUUUUAUUUAAAUAAAAUUUUAAAUUACUUUAAUUAAUGAUAUGGGUUAUAAAUUAACUACUUUAAUUACUAUGAUUAAAAAUUUUAAUUUAAAUUAAUUACUUUAAUAUAUUUAUUUUAAAUUUAUCUAUGAUUAAUUUAAAUUGCUUUUAUUUAUUUUAAUUACUAUGAUUAAUUAUUUAUUUAUUUUAAAUUACUUUAAUUAAUGAUAUGGGUUAUAAAUUAACUACUUUAAUUACUAUGAUUAAUAAUUUUAAUUUAAAAUUAAUUAGUUUAAUAUAUUUAUUUUAAAUUUAUCUAUUUGUCUCAUUAAAUAAUUUCAUUAAACAUCAAAAUUAUAGACAAUAAGUGAAAGACUUCGUCGGUGGGCAUAGCUGGCUGUCGGCCACACUUUAAAAUGUCUAAUGUGGUAUUCGAACUAUCAAUUUGUGUAUCAUUUGGUACCUGUACAUUCAUAAAAUAUACAAUGUGGUACUUAUACUUUGGAAGUGUUUAACAUAGUACCUAAUAUAUCAAUCUGUGUAUUAUUAUGGUACCUAAAAUUAAAACCUUUAGACCUUAGCAAAUGCUAAACUAACUAAUGAGAAUUCAAUAUGUAAAUUUUGUUCUAAAUCUCCGAUUCUAUGUAGAUGAUACAACAUUAUGUGACAAAAAUAAAUAAAACAAAAAGUAAAUAACUAAACCUAAACAACAUGAGUUCAACUUUACAAAAACCAUCGAACUUUAACUUAAAAUUUCUUCAACUUUUUAAAUACCCUAGAAUUUUCCAAAUAUUUUCAAAAUUUAUACAAGCCAAAAUUUUUCAAAAAUUAUGUCCCUUACUUCUUAUUGAACUUGAAUGAGAGGUUGAAUAACUUCAUUUCGACUACCAUUUUUUAUUUAUUAUUUAUCUCUUCAUAUAAUAUUAUAUUAUCCAUGUGAAAUUGAUGAUUUGAAAAAAAAAUUCAUGUGUUGGUUUAGUAAUUACCACGGGUGUUGACUCUAUGUAUCAUAAUAAUAUACAAAUCAAUAGUUCAGAUACCAUAUUGAACAUUUCAAAGACCACUAUAGUAAACGAAAAUAAAGUACAGAGGCUUAAUUGGACAUUUUGAAAGUUUAGGGGUCACAUUAGAACAAACCCUAAAGUAUAAGGGCCUUUGAUGGAUUAUCCCUUUUUUGAAUUUAAUACUAAUUCUUAUUUUGAAUUUAUUUUGAAUUUAAUAAAUUUUUAACUUUUUAAUAUAUAAUUAUAAAAGUGAAACAAAGUUGACGUGGAAAAUUGAUUGAAGUCAAGAAACAAUAUCCGGAAAUUCAUGUCCCCAUACCAAACAUGUUCAGAUGAUGGAAUCUGCAACAAUAAACUACAUUGAAAAGAGUGUAUGAAAGGCACCCCAUUUGCUGAAUAGAUUCUACACCAAUCUCAUCCCAUCCCAUCUUUCUAUUUCCAUCUGUAGCUUAAAUAACAUUAUAAAUAUAAUUUUAAUUCUUUUUAUAAAUGAUAGAUGUAGGUGUUGUCUAUGGAUUGAACAAUAAUAAAUUAAAUUAGAUGUUGUAUAACAUUUUCUUACAUCAAAUUUUAGUAAAUUAAAUUUUAUUCGAAAUAUAAAUAAAAUGUUUAAUAUAAAAAUAUACUAAUAAUAUUUUGUUUUUUUGAAAGUAUAGUAUGAAUCAAUCUUUAAAAAUGGAAUUAUUUAAAUAUUUAAUAUUAAAUUAUUUUACAUAUUAUAAAUCAUGUAAAUCCACUUAAUUAGUGAAUGGCAAAAUUAUAUAGAAAAAUAAUAUAAAAUCAACUUUCUUAAUAAUACUUAUUCAUUAUAAUGAUGAUAAAUAAUAAAUAGGUAUAUAUAUUUUUGAAAGGAAAUAUUUCAUUAAUAACUUAAAUACACAUAUAACGAAUGAUUAAAAGAAAAAAGAAAAACGAUAACUAAAAUCUCAAUCCAUACACCUAAUUCUAAGUCCUAUCUCUUUAAUUGAUCCAUAACAUGGAAAUCUUCCAUUCACAAUAAUUCACAUUAUAUGAGUUACCUUUUUAGUGCUUUUAAGACUCUAAAUGAAGUAUAUAUAAAGAUAGAAAAUGAGACUAAAGUUGGAGAUAAUCUUUAAACCAGCGUUCCAAAUUUACAGACAUCAUUGUUUCGACUGUGCCCAAAUUAAGGCCUCCUUGACUGCGUAUAUUUCAGCAACUUUAGGAGCCAUCAUUGGAUUAACAUGACCCUUUUGCAUCACGGACUACAGCAGACCAGCCUGCAGCAUUAGCCUCCCUAAAUAACGUGGCAUUGAUAUUGCACUUCACCCAUUCCACAGGCGGCUUUGACCAGCAUGAACCGCCAACACCAGAAACUGCUCCAGGCUCUUGAACUUUAUCAAUAGUUCGUCAAACAUCAUUCCAAUCUUGCAUAAAAGAGACAGAAAAAGCUAGGAUAUGAGCGGUUGAAGCAUUUUUCGAUUGCCAUGCAAAAAGGUUCCUAUGGAACCAAAGACUCCGCAUAAUACUUAAAGCUCAACCAACGAGUUGUUUUUAGUGAUAUAUAAUGAAUCAAAAUUGAUAUUGUGUGAAAAAAAAAAUCAAAGAUAAUGCACAAACAUACCAUCUGAUUGCAUCUGCAACCAAUCUUGUGUCAAAUCAAUUCCUGUCGAAUAUCGGGAUUCAGUGAGCUACGGUUGGGGGACCUAAGAUAAUGAUACUGCCAAAGCUAAAUUGCAUCGCUCCAAUAUUGAUAGAACCUUGCUUUCAUCUUUGCUGCCAAUGAACUAAGAAAAGUAUUUGGGAUCUUGCACAAUUCAAUCAACAGUAUGUAAACAUGACAGAUUUCAGGAAAAUACACAUUUGCAGUAGGACUUUUGUAACUAGAGAAGACAUUAAUGGUUUCAGUAAAUAGCUUGAAAUAGCCGGAAAUGGAACUUGCCCAUUCCCACUCUUCACCACUUGAAGCAAGGUCUGAAAAGUUCUUAUGAAAAACUUAAGCGAACUAUGUAGCAUUGUUGUAAACAUGUUUGCCCAGUAAAGAUGGAGCACCUACUCACCAUGUACUGACCAUACUUCUCUUUGAUUGCAGGCAAAUUAGCAACACCAACAUUACGGUAGAGAUGAUGCAGUCCCCUAAAUUAGAGGGCUGGCAUAGUGUGUAAUCCCUCAAUAUAGAAUCCUGCCCAAUACAAUGAAAAAGAAUAGACAUAUAGCUGAACAAAUCAGUACUUAGUAAAUAAACUAUGCCUGGGACGUACAAAUAUUACUGUCAAGACAUAUAGCUCAUUUAUUUCUGUCAAAAAAAAUCAACAUAUUAAUUUAUUCAUUUCUACAAAAAUCAACCAAUGGGUAAAUUGUCCAACGUAUGUUUUAAAAUGCUUUCAGUAAAUAGCUUGAAAUAGCCAGUAAUGGAACUUGCCCAUUCCCAAUCAUCACUUGAAGCAAGGUCUGAUAUUCAGAUCAAGCUCUUAUUAAAAACUUAAGCGAAUUAUGUAGCAUUGUUGUAAACAUGUUUGCCCCGUAACGAUGGAGCACCUACUCACCUUGUACUGACUAUACUUCUCUUUGAUUGCAGGCAUAUUAGCAACACCACCAUUAAGGUAGAGAUAAGGCAGUCUCCUAAAUUAGAGGGCUGGCAUAGUGUGUAAUCCGUCAAUAUAGAAUCCUGCCCAAUACAAUGAAAAGGGAUAGAUAUAUAGCUGAACAAAUCAGUACUUAGUAAAUAAACUAUGCCUUGGACGUACCAAAUAUUUCUGUCAAGAUUUUAGCUUUUAAAUGCUCAUUUAUUUCUGUCAAACAAAAUCAACAAAUUAAUUUAUUCAUUGCAACAAAAAUUAACCAAUGGGUGUUUUAAAAUGCUUUUCAAGGUAGCAAAUGCAUCAAACUCUGUACAAAAAAUAAAGAACGAGUAGAUAUUCCAUAAAAGAAGCAACUCGAUCGAUCAGACUUUGAAAAACAUAAUCAACAAAUAAGUAACAAUUAGAACUAAAAAGAAGAAUAAAAAGAACCAAAAAACCAAGGCGAGAAGAAGGGUAAAUGGUCAUGCCAUAUUUACCUAGUUAAUUAACUAGUGUUGACUGUUGGUACAAUCGACGUGAUUUAGGCGCAAGAAUGAUUUUUGCAACAUUUUUCACUGAAAGGGUGAAAUUUCUUCAGCUUCUUCUUUAUACUGAGGUAGUGAGGUAGGUCUUCUCCUUUUCCAAAUUAUAUCUUCCCGUGAGGGACUGGUAUCAUUUAGCUGAGAUGCCUUCAUUUCAUAACAAAUUAAACUUCGUUGAGAAUAACAUAAAAAUAAAAUAAAAAUUACUCAAUUUCAUAUAUAUUAGAAUAACAUAAAAGAGUGUAAUUGGGAGGAUAAAUACCUGAUCAGUUUUAGCAUGCACAGUCAAUGUUAAAUAAUCUGCACUGAAACUUGUGAUCAUCUUGGAACAUUCCUUAAUGUCAAGCGAAUGUAAACAUGGGAAUUCCAGAUGAUAACCCAUAGGGCUGAAGCUCUCGAGCUUUGACAAAUUUUCAAGUUCUAUUUUCUUUAACUGAGGGAAUACCAUUUUCAUCUCCAACUGAGGACCUUGUGAUGAUGAUGAAGAUUCUAAAAUGUCAUCAUUUCCAAUUAUUUGCUUCAAGUUCUCACAUGACGCUAUGUCUAGGAUGCUUAAUUGUGGUAAAUGUGGAAUGAGCGUCUCUGGAAAGAUGUAUGUCAAGUUAUUGCAGCAGUAAACCCUUAUUUCUCUAAGAUUGGUUGCAACCUGGAUGGGACCCUUCCAUAUAUCUCGCAACCUAAUCACAUUAAAAAGCUCCAUUUUCUCUAGACUUGAGAUGAUAUUGCCACUCUGAAGCUGAAACAAUUGUUCAAAGUUUCCCAAAGUUAUAUAUUCGAAAUCUGGUGAUUUUUGUCUCAACUGAGUGUUUACCAUAUCACACAAAUUGACAUCUUCACUGUCUAUAUCUUCCAUAGAGAAGAACAACUCCUGCAUAAAAGUAAAGGGAAGUGUUAUUCUUUUAAGUUCUUUCAAUAUCAACCAAGUAUGGCACUCUCAUAUUUGGUUUUCUUUUUAACUUUUAAUUACAUGAAUUGACAAAUUAUGCAUUAGAGACUUUCCACUUUUCUAAGGAAAUUAGAUUUUAAUAAAAUGAAAUACAAAACUUCUUUUUGAAAUAAAUAAAAUAAAAAAACAAAGGAAUUAAGAAAACAAAACUGAAAAGGAAAGUACCUUUAAAGAACCACACUUCUUAACUUCUUUAGGAAAAGUAAAAUUUGUAAACACUGAACAUUCUUCGAUAUGUAAAAUUUCCAAAAUUGGUGCUUCUAAAGAGUUGUUUCCUCCAACAAUACUCCUCAAGUUUCUCAAUCCAACAAGUUUUAUAUUUCGUAGAUAAGAAAAAACUCCAACUGAAGCAUGUGGGAAGACAUAUUCUAAACUGCAGCAUCUUUCAAUCUCCAAAAUUUCCAAGUUUGACAAGUAAUAUGCGUUUGAUUCUAUUCCAUCAUCCAUUCGAAAUAUCUUUGACAAAUCUUCACAAAAAACAGCUCUCAAACUUUUGAGAUUUUGCAAGAAACACUUGGGAGAUUGGUCAUUGUACUUGAAAUCCAUCAUUGCUUGGGAUAUAUCAACCAAGCAUUCACCACCUUGCCAGUUGUUAAUAGAAAGGGAAGUUAAUCCGUCUAAAUGUUCCAAAUCUAUAAGAUCUGGGACGAGAUUUUUGUGAUCCCCAAUAUUGUAGAGAAUAAGAUCGUUUGUAUUGCAUAACAAUUCCUUGAAUACCGAUAAUCCAGUUUCCUAAUUGUAAUUCAUCACAUAAAUGAAAACAAAUCAUUAAUUAAUGAAAGAAUAAAUUAAAUAUUAGAUUAAUAUAAUAACAUAUUGGUAUCAUAAAAAUAUAUAUAUAACAACAGAUUGGAAUAACAAUUACCAACAAGAUAUAUGAUAAUUAUAAACAGCAAAUACAACUAUUUUUAUAUAUUUUUUAAGCUCAAUUUUAAGGUUGGGAGGGGCAUGGUAUGAAAAAGUUUAAUAAUUAGAAAAAUCAAAUAAAAAAAAUCCAGAAAAGGAAAAAAGAGUAAGAAAGGUGUACCUCUAACGUUAACUCCAGCUGAUUGUUGGCUUGUUGAAUGGGAAGGUUCAUCACUUUAGAACAACCCUUAGCUUUCAUUCUUUUCAAAGAUGGUGCUUUGACAAUAUAGUUUUUUGGGACAAAACUAGUCAAGUUUCGUAACCAAUCAAGUUCUAGAUCUUGUAGACUUGGAAGGAGCAGGCUACUAUGGUGAUGAACUUCAUUUUGUUCAUUUGGCAUGCCGAACACUUGCUUUAAUGCAUCACACUCAGAAACCCAAAGCCAUUCAAGAGCAGGAAGACCUUGAGCCAAGGUGAUUGGCACAACAUAUUCCAGUUUUGCACACGCUCUGAUGUAAAGAGUAUUCAAUUUGGGCAGGCGGAGAGGAAGGGAAGAAGUCUUUGAUUCUAUUUCACCAUCAAUUUCCGGAUCAGCGAAAAGAGUUUUCAAUUCGUCGCAGCAUCGUAUCUCGAGUUGUUCUAAAAGCACUAGGCUUUGAAUAAGGGAAGGAGAAAAAAGGGAUUUCAACUUACAACAGUCUACAAUUCCCAGAUGUUUCAAGUUUUUGAGGAAACCUUGUGGAGGCUGACCCUUGCAUAAGGCUUCCAACCGAGGCAUCGCUCCUAUAAAUAAUUUCUCCAAAUGACUGAAUGCUGAAGUUGGCCCAUUCUUUGUUGCAGUAGCGGUGGUAUCAACCAAGCAUUCAAGAUCCUCGCAAUUCUCAAGAUGAAGGGAAGUUACUCCAUUUAGUCCAUCUUCAUUAGCUUCUGGAACCAGAUUAUGAUCCU
rnacentral:lncRNA from 1 species